UGGGGUGUCAAUAAACCAUAAGAAGGUAAUUUUCCUGAAUAACAGAGUGCCAUGCACUCACUUCUCUAGGGGCCCAAACUUGGAUCCAAAUGACACCAAUUAGCUGGAAACGUCUGGAGUCAGCUUAGCUGACACGCACUGUGCACUGAGAGGGCAGUGGAUAAUUUAAUAGCAAAUACCUCAUUUGAAAUUGCUGGGGACGCCUGGUUUCUCACAUGAAGUUGGGAGCACACUAGGAGCCUUUCCCAACACACAGCGCUCUAUUCAAUGCGAUGCAGAGCAGAAACAAACCAAUGCUGGGACCAAACAUGUGGUAUGGAUUGUGAUUACAAAGAUCAGUAAUGAGGACAGCACCCUACAGUUACUCCAGUGGUUUCUGCUAGCCACAGUUUCCUGUGCAACCUGA
rnacentral:lncRNA from 1 species